GGUUGUUUUAACAGGUAAUGGGUAUGAUGCAAGAAAGAGUUUGUCAUCUAUUUGAUUCUUACCGCUCACAUUUCAUAUGGCAAAGAAAGAAUAUUUUAUUCUUUGGUUAAUUGUGAGAUUAAUAUUUUGGUUUAUAGGAAAGACCCUAUUGUAGGAAUUGGGUGAAGAAGAGAAGCAAAAUUAUAGUGGAGGGGCUAGGAGUAAUGGAAGCGUAUGGUAAAGAAGGUGAAGCCAUAAAACUUCUGGAAUAUGUUCGAAAGCGUAAAAUUGUAAUGGAAUUGAUUGAUUAAUAUAUCAAUCUAAAGCUCAUGACUACAUUUCAAUCACAUUAUAUUAAUAAGAGUAUUGUCUGCAUUCACGUUUUGUAGGAAGCUAAAGGAUCUUCUCAAACUCAAACAACUCAACCAUGCCUAAUCUAUGCAAAGGUUUGUUUUUUUGAGUAAAGUUAACAAGGGGCUACUUCAGCCCUUCUUAGUUCUUAGUUCAGUUUUGUCACUUCACUUGAGCAAAUUUAUUUGUAUAAUUUGUGAGUUCAUGACUGUUUUCUAUUGAUUUCAGUACUUGUACGUGUAGAUCAAUCGUUGACUCCGCUGCAAAAGAACAUGUGUUUCGAUGAAUUCAGUGAUGUAUAUAUACAGUUCCGGUAUUUCUUUAUAUAUACCGAUUAGGACUCUUUCAAUUACAUUGGUGAGUUCAUGAUUGUUUUCUAUUCGGUUCAGUCUUCUCUUCUAAUUUCAAUAAGUUGUGUGGAUAACUUGGUGGGUUUAUCUUGAAGGCAUUUGUCUGUUCUGUAAAAUCUGGUUUCUUGAUGCUCUAAAAUCUCUAUUUGCUUCUCUGACUUUUUGGUUACUUGUACGAAUGAAUGGUGUUCAUGCCAUAACAGAGAACUUCAGCGAGCAUGUCUAGUCAUCUUGAUCAGAAUGUCGAACAGUAAGUACUCUGCUCUAUUCUUCAAUAUCUUUCAAACUAUCCUACUUGAGUUCUAUCUGCGUUUUCUUAUUGCAGGUUGUUGUUACAUGUGAAAUAUUUGUAUGGAUGAUGAUUUUUGGAGGUGGAUAGAAUUACUGCCAAGGGAGAGAUACUUGAUACGGGUCUCUGAUUUUGGCUUAUCUUUGUUUUUGGAGUAAAGUUAACAAGGAGCUACUUUAGCUCUUCUUAGUUCUUAGUUCAGUUUUGUCACUUCACUUGAGCAAAUUUCUUUGUAUAAUUUGUGAGUUCAUGACUGUUUUCUAUUGAUUUCAGUACUUGUACGUGUAGAUUGUUUUCUAUUGAGUUGACGAUGUUGACUCCGCUGCAAAAGAACUUGUGUUUCGAUGAAUUCAGUGAUGUAUAUCCAGUUCCGGUAUUUCUUUCUAUAUUCCGAUUAGGACUCUUUCAUUUACAUUG
rnacentral:lncRNA from 1 species